AUUGAACGCUGGCGGCAUGCCUUACACAUGCAAGUCGAACGGCAGCGCGGGAGCAAUCCUGGUGGCGAGUGGCGAACGGGUGAGUAAAGUAUCGGAACGUGCCCAGUCGUGGGGGAUAACGUAGCGAAAGUUAAGCUAAUACCGCAUACGAUCUAUGGAUGAAAGCGGGGGAUCGCACGACCUCGCGCGAUUGGAGCGGCCGAUAUCAGAUUAGGUCGUUGGUGGGGUAAAGGCUCACCAAGCCGACGAUCUGUAGCUGGUCUGAGAGGACGACCAGCCACACUGGGACUGAGACACGGCCCAGACUCCUACGGGAGGCAGCAGUGGGGAAUUUUGGACAAUGGGCGAAAGCCUGAUCCAGCCAUGCCGCGUGCAGGAUGAAGGCCUUCGGGUUGUAAACUGCUUUUGUACGGAACGAAAAGGUUUGGGCUAAUAAGCUGAGCUCAUGACGGUACCGUAAGAAUAAGCACCGGCUAACUACGUGCCAGCCGCCGCCGUAA
rnacentral:rRNA from 1 species